UUGUUGAUGCAUGUGGGGUCAGAAAUGUUCUAGAACGAAUUUUAAUGUGGAUUUUUCGGUAUCAGAGGUGGAAACUCAUUAACAAAAUAAUGGUUAUAUUUUUCGCCUUGGGAAAAAUGUGAUUUGUGAUUGUGGUAAACUUUGUGAUUGUUGCGAUCUUUUCAAUUUUUUUGGGGGAGUGCAACCAACUGGGUUGCUGAAAUCUACAUAAGCAAAUGUUCAUAAGGAAAUCAUCAUAAGCAGGAGAAAUGAAAGCUAAGGAUGCCAACAGCAAAUUGCAGAAGCUUUCCGAUGGAGGCAGUACGACCGAAGUAGAAUAAUAAAAUUUUAAGAAAUUUUGCGCGCUACAUGGUGUUGAUGGUCAUUCAUGUAAGCAUGAAUUUGUUGCUCGUUGGCUGAAUGCUGUAAUUUUGAGUCCCGGUUAAAGCUUGACAGACCGAACUUCAUAUCAACAGCGCGGCGUAACGUGAAGAAGCAUGAUACGGCCGUUAGUGGACAACAACCGAAACCCAACGCAAGCGGAUCAAAAAAGUAAAAACCCAAUUUGCACAGCGGCUGGACAAGAGCAAAAAUUCAUUUUUCAAAGGAACAGUCAAAAACAAAACGAGCAAAAACUACAAAAAGUUGCCAAUGUGAAGCAUGUGAACCCAUCUAGGAAGUGGUGACCACUAAAAGAAAGAGGAUCCGCUGAAAAUUAAAAAAAAAAAUGAUAUGGGAGAUAGGAAUUAUCACAGGACAGCAACUAUAAAACGAUUCAUUAUAAUUUCGGGCUUGUGAUAUAGCGCAGUUGGCAAGUCUGUUGUCUCCUGAGCAGAUGUCCGCGAGUUCGAGCCCAAGAGUAAACAUCGAACACAGUUGUACCGGAUAAGUUUUUCAAUAACGAUCCGCCAACUGCACCGUUGAUAAAGUCGCGAAUGCCAUAAAAAUGAUAUUACGUUCACUGUUUCGUGUGAGUUCCCAGAUAGAUCCAAAAAUCCAUUGCUGGAGAACAGGUUACGAUGAAAUUGGAUAAAUAAUGACGAUCCAUCAAUCACCGCUCAAGCGCCAUUUCCAUUUAAGUUUCAUGUUUUGUAAUUUUUAUAUGUUUUUUGCAGUGUAACCAUGUAUCAAAAUGUGUUUAUUAAUAAAGAAUUAGAACGACUAAAUUAUUUUCAAAAUUUUUGUUUGCUGUAUUUUUUUCAUUUUGGAGGAAGCUUAAUUAUUUCAAUUCUGGCACCACUGCAAAAUAUACAGAAAUGUACAGAAUUGAGCAACUGGCUGAAAGCUUGAAAUGUAUAAAAGCUUUUUGCACACGCUAUGCGUAAAGAGCCCAAACUUAAAACUAAGUGGAGACACUUUUCUUGAAACUGUAUGGAUUUUUAUACAGAUUAGAGUAACUUUUGUUACCGUGUGACUCGUAAGGUUUUGUGUCCAGUGCUGCAAAUUUUCAGUG